AGGUCUCGCCCUUUUGGGCGUUUCCUCCCUAAUGACUUGGCCGCGCCCUCACCGGCGCGGCCUUUUUUUCACGCCGC
rnacentral:sRNA from 1 species